rnacentral:rRNA from 1 species
UACCCGCAGCUCGAGUGGUAGCCGCUAUUAUUGAGCCUAAAGCGUUUGUAGCCGGCUUUGUAAAUCCUUGGGUAAAUCGAGUCGCUUAACGGUUCGAAUUUCAGGGAGACUGCAAGGCUAGAGACCGGGAGAGGUCAGAGGUACUUUCGAGGUAGGAGUAAAAUCCCGUAAUCCCGAAGGGACCACCUGUGGCGAAGGCGUCUGACUAGAACGGCUCUGACGGUGAGGAACGAAGGCUAGGGGAGCAAACCGG